rnacentral:pre_miRNA from 1 species
UCUUAUGGAUGAGCAAACAAAGUGAUUUCCUGAGACGGAAUCUACUUCUGGUGAAGGUGCUCUGAA